ACCAGUAGGAACGCAAGGGGGCGGUCCCAACGGUAGUGAUCAUGAUGGGGUG
rnacentral:rRNA from 1 species